GCGGGGGUAGCCAAGUCUGGUCAAAAUGUUCGUGUAGCGAAUAUGAUCAAAGGCGCAGGACGAACUUGCUGUGCGAUACUUAAGAUCCUGUCUCUUAGUGAGUUCGUCGGUUCAAAUCCGGCCCCCCGCA
rnacentral:tRNA from 1 species